GCGCCGCUGAAUCUCCGAACCGCUGCGCCUACGGAAAAAUUUCUAUGGCAAGCGGUCUACGGGUCCUGCCGGAAACGGCUCGGCCUCCCAUUGUGGAAAGGAGAUACCAGGCUUCUUCG
rnacentral:ncRNA from 1 species